rnacentral:rRNA from 1 species
UACGAAGGGGGCUAGCGUUGUUCGGAAUUACUGGGCGUAAAGCGCACGUAGGCGGAUAUUUAAGUCAGGGGUGAAAUCCCAGAGCUCAACUCUGGAACUGCCUUUGAUACUGGGUAUCUCGAGUAUGGAAGAGGUGAGUGGAAUUCCGAGUGUAGAGGUGAAAUUCGUAGAUAUUCGGAGGAACACCAGUGGCGAAGGCGGCUCACUGGUCCAUUACUGACGCUGAGGUGCGAAAGCGUGGGGAGCAAAGCAGG